AUCUGGUACUUGCUUUAGAUUUGCAGUACCUAGUGGACUAGAUUUGUAAAUUGUAAUCACCUGCUCUUACGUCACAUAGAAACCCUGUGAAAAUCUGGCAAUUUUUGACUCAGAAAAAUGAAUAUUCAUAUAUAUAUAUAUAUAUAUAAACGUUGACAAGAGACAGAUUAGAAGAGUUUUGAAGACAUUGAAGUAAAUGGAGAAACUAUCCAGAGCUGAAUUGAUUGACACUGUCAACCAGCAAAAGGAACAAUUGCAGCAGUAUAAAUCUAAAUUAAGGGAUGUUGUGGCUGCUUAUAAGAGUGUUGUGAAAGAGAAAGAGGCCCUGGAGGCCAGCUUAACAGCAUUAAGUGCAUGUAAUAGCUCCUCCAGCCUAAACAAGGCAGAUAUUGUCUCAGAGAAUACAGUUGAAACCAAUGAAGAGGAGAUUAACACAUCUGACCCUUUGGGAGCUACUAAGCAGGAACCCAAGGAUGAAAGUCUAGCACUUCGAGAGCAGGUGAAAACUUUAAGUCAUUCUCUCGCCACUCUUACACAAGAGAAAAAUAAAAAUGAUGCCAAAUUUUUUGCAGAAAGGAAACAAGUGAAGCAUGAGAUUGAAGAGCUCCAAGCUCAGCUGUUGGAAGAAAAGAGGAGGACCUCAAAACAGGCUGAAGGUUUUGAACUUCAAAUUUCAGAUAUGAAAAGUCGUCUUCGCACUCAACAGUUAGAACGAGAGCGAGAGCAAACAGAUCAUGCUCUGAUGUUAAAAGAACUGCAGACUUUAUUAUCCAAAGAGAGAAGCACCAAAGAAGCAUUAGAAGCUCAAAUUGAUGAAUACCAGUUUGCAUUAAAAGAUCAAAGACCUCAGAGUACCCCUGUGGUCUCAGAGGUGUAUGAGAAGCAGAUUCAACAACUUCAGAAUGAGCUGCAGAUUGUGAGAGACAGACUAAAGUCUGCUGAGAACAAAGCCAACCAACCAUCACCUUUUAUAAUUGAGUUGCAGAAAGAUAUGGCCAACAUGCAGGCUGAUUACCAAAGACAGGUUGAGAAAGAACAGCAGAAAGCAACAGAGGCUAAACAUCGUCUGAAGGCUCAAGCUAAACAAAGUGAGGAGAGAAUUUCAAGCCUAGAAGCGAAACUGUCAGAUUUGUCGGAAGUGGUGGGGAACUACGAACGUCUGAGGUUUCAAGACCAGCAGGCCAUUAGCAAACUCCGUGAACGUGUGACUCAAUUAGAUUUGGAAAACACUGCAUUGGUUCAUGCUGCUAACUUGACACCUGAGAAAAAAGAAAACGAUUUGGACACAAUGGAAGCAGAGAAAAUUGUGGAGAAAAUAUUCCAGUUAAGAACAAUUCUCAAAAAUGUUGCUGAAAAAUCAGAAACUCCUGUUAAACUGUCAAGUAUAUUUGUUGAAGAUAUGAAUAAAGCAGAUGAAGAAUCAGACCAGUGCAGAAAGUACAAAGAAGAGCUUGAGCAAGUGAAAGAAGAUUUUGAGAGAUACAAACUUAGAGCACAAUCUGUACUGAAGAACAAAAAUAAGGAAACUGGACCAUCCAAAGAGUGUGAACUGUUAAAAGAGCAGGUGGCUGAGCUUAGAGACAAGUUUCGGAUGAGCAACUUCCACCACCAGGAAGAGAUAGCAGAGUACCAGAAUAAGAUUGACAACCUCAGCAAAGCUCUUCUGAGCCAUGAAGAAAAAUUUAAGGCUGACUUGGCUCUGGUCAAGGCCAGCCACCAAAAGGAAGUAGUUCAGCUGGAGACAGAGUCCAAGAAACAGAGAGAGAGAACCAUAGCCAUGCUAGCUGAAAAGGACUCUGAGAUUCAAAAGCUGAAGGCCUUGACUGGUCAAGGUUUGGACAGUGAUAUGCUGAGACACUGGAGCUCAGGGCAACAGUUUUUCGAAGGUACUUUGCCUGCCGAGGAUUCUAAAACAAAACAUUCUGAAGAGCAUGAAGCUGUAGCACAGUUGCUUGACCUUCCUAAAAGUCUUCAAAAUGAGGCCAUGUUCCUACACUUUGCUCAAGAGAAGGGUAGAAUGGAGGUAGAACUUAACGGCCUCAGGAAACAGAAGAGGCAGCUGGAGUCGGCUAUUCGAGAUCUCCAGCUCUCAAUGAGUCAAAAAGAAGAGAAGCUGAGGGAUGAGAUCAGUGCCCUGCAGGAGAGACUAGCGGAGGUGGAUCGCCACACACACAGAGAAAGCGCCAAUGUUGAGUAUCUGAAGAAUGUCAUGGUGAAGUUCUUGACAUCCACAGACUCUGAAGGCAAGAAGCAAAUGCUGAAGGCAGUAAUGACCAUCUUGCAGUUUAGUCCCUCUGAGAAAGAGAUGAUAAAGAAUGCUCAUGCCAGAGGUUGGUGGCCAGCAUGAUGACUGAUUCAUCUGACUAGUUGUAUCCACAAAAUAUGCUGAACAGAAUGGAUAGUGGCUUGCGGACCUGGGCACAUAAGUUAGAGUCUACUGCAUUUUGUGCAUUGAUAGUGCCAAAUCUUUGUCAUUUCAUGAGUAAAAGAUUGUUGGUCCUGGUAACAUGAAAAAAAACAACAACUUUUGAGCCUUACAGACCAUGCAUUCUCUCCUGUUACUUUUUGAAGAAAAAUGUCCACUAAGAUCUAGAUUUCUUUAUAAAUGUGGGUAAUUUAAAAGUUGGAUCUUAUUUUUGUCUACACCAGUGGUCCCAACCUAAUCCAAGUCUUAUUAUAUAAAACUGUCUGAUGUACCAACAGCCCCAAGCACUCAGUAAAAUGUGUACUACAUGGGGUCACAGACUUUAAGCCUUGGGCUGGAAACCUUUAAUCAGACAAAAACUUUUAUAUACUUCAACUUUUUUUGGUCACCAUCUCAGAUAGAAAAAAAUUAGCUUACUCAUGCUAUCUUUAUUCUUGAUUCUUUUUUAUUUCUCAAUAAUAAAGUUAUAGUGAGCAUAUUAUUUAACUACAAAAGCCUAAGACAUUGAUAGAAUAAUCUGUGAUGUAAGAUAUAAAUUAAUCAUUUUCACUUUUUUUUUCUUUACUUUGUGUAAAAAAUUUGAUGCUGGAGAUGUUUUUUUCUCUUUCUUUUUUUUUUUAAAUUAUUAUUUAUUAUUAUCAAGUAGUGUUUUCCUUCAGUUGCAAUAUCUUCUUUAAAAUAAAGCCCAGAAGAAAUGGAAGAAUAUGAAAUUCCAAAAUACUAUAAUUAAUUCAACUAGAAUAAUCACGUUAACUUGUAUCACAAUAUUGAAUUAUAUUUUGUAAACAAAACUUUUCUCAAGAAUUUCAUAAUGGGACUGAACACCACUUCUGCUUGGUUGCUUCCCUUUUAUAAUAUUUACAUAAUCUUCUGACAUAGCAGGAUUUACCAAAUGGGCAGCACAAGCUAGAUCUAUAUCUUAGGACCCUCAAGAAAUAUUUAGCACUGACAAAUAAUAUCUGGACUUGUAAGGAUCUCAUAUCAAAUAGUUUAUGGCCUUCUCAAGGGCCCUGGGAUGUUUUUUUAUUUUUAUUACUAAUAGUGUAUAAUGUAACAUUCCAGGUGCUGAUGUUUGUGUAAACCAGUUCAAUACAAGGUUACCAACUCAGUACCUAUUUUAUUUGUUUAAAAUUCAGUUUUAAAAAACAAGCAAAAUAUAAAAAGUACGUUUUAUUAAAACGGUUUAUCUAAAGGAAAAAAACUGCAUUUACAAUGAUAUCUCAGCAUUUAUUUCCCUCAUUCAAUAACAAACAAAAUAAUUAAUACCAAUAAUUAAUUAACUAAUUGGUAAAUUUUUAAAUUGAUCUAUGUUUUGUUAGGUACAAUAAAUAAUUGUUUGAAACUUGAUCUGAGAAUGGGUGAGGGAAAAAUAACUCUUAUAAACUUUUUACCAAACAGACAGACAGAGGGAGUUGCUAUGAGCUUAGUAAUAAGCUUUAAAAUAAAAUUUGCUUUUAGACAUAAAAUUAUAUUUAUUCCGAGGUAUUGGGUUUAUUCACUUUGGACAUUUUUGUCUUCUUCUUCUUCAUCGUUCUCAUUUUUCAUGUCAGAGUGUUCAAAUCAGUAAUCCUAUAUCUGAGAUGAACUGCGUUUCCAGAUCAGGCAUUUCUCUUUAUAUUUUUUUCUUCUAUAGGAGGGUUUUGAGGCCAGAGUCUUGUUCAGGCCUCUUGAUAAAGUAUUCAGCUUUGAAGGGCAGGGUCAGCAUUCUCUGGUGAUGCUUCACAAGGGCAAGUUUCACUAGUCCAGACUUUAAACUUUGAAAACAUAUGUUGUCUCAUUCUGUUGUGUCUAGUUCUGAGUCAAAAAAUGAUGCGUUGGUCAUGCCGUGAUAGCUUGUAAUAGGCUUCCUUUUUUUUACAGACACAUUUUAUUGGUCGAUUGUUGAAGUCAUGAUCUGAUUGACAGAGUUUGUGUGCAUCACUGCAUUAGUUGGACUGACUUAUUGGGGGAAAAAAUGUCUUAAAACUGCAUGUGGCUGACUGAAAUUAAGUGCUUGGCUAAUUCACUUGGGAGGGGGGGGGAUGUUUAUGUUUCAAUCCCAGUCCAGAUGUUUUUAUUUUUAGCGGCCCUCAAAAGGGGAAAAGACUAUUAGUUUUGUGUGGCCUGUCUGUCCGUCCCGUUUAGAUCUCAGAAACUAGAAGAGAAAAUGAAAAUCUGACAUCAUAAUAUUUUAGACCAUACAAAGUUCUGAUGCAAUGCAACAGCUACUUUUUUCUUUUCUGAAAGCUAAAAAUCUAAUUUUUUAAAUCACUUAUUCAAGCAGUUUUUGCAUAAAAAUAUACCACUUUUACAACUAUUCACUAUUAAUAGUAACAAACACGGGACGCUCUUUAUUAGGGGAGACUACUAUUUACCAUAAUUUUAACACAUUUAUGCCAACGGUUGUGUUGUUAAGUUAUGUAAGUUCUGUUAUACUAAGUUUAUAUUUACACACAAACAAAUGUUUAUUAUUUUUUUAAAGAGAAAAAAAUCUAUUUAGUAUGCAUAUAAGUCAGACAUAAUUUUAAACAACAAUUAAUAAGUAGUUUUUCAUAUUAUCGCGUGAACUGCAGGAGCAUAGUAGAGGUAAUCGAAGAAAAAAAAAAUUAUUUUAAUUUUUUUUUAUACUGAAAUGUUUUAUUCUUGAGGAAUAAGAAAUUGGCCCUUUACAAAACAAGUAGAUCAAUUAGAUAUUCAUUAUAAGACAUCAGUUAGGCCAGGUUCACAUCUAACUUCACAUUCACUUUCACCUAUCCUUUGGUCUGCUGGACCGCUGGGGCACCACACGAAAUCUGUUAACCUUUUUUUCUCCUUUAUUUUCUGUCAUUUGUCUGUGAUAGAAUUUCAUUCUGAUAAUGUUGAAACCUGCCUUUUUACCUGCCUGGGUGGACCACUUCGGGGGCCGAUUUUCAGUUUGUGUUUCCACACAAACUGUCUUUGUAACCUUGUUAUUUUUAGAUUUAACUCAGCUGAGUUGUGCUUGCUCAGCAACUUAAAGCAGCAUGUUUACAAAAGAGAUUGGACAAAAAGACACUGAGCAGGGAGUUCGAUGUACAUCUUUGUAAAGAACGUCUUCUACCCUCAAGAAACUGUUAUAGCUUUUAGAAGUGAAGAGAUGCAAGAUAAAACAGUUUUCAGAAUUCUGUUUGAUCAUGAAGCCUAUCAUCUACUACAAUUGAACAAGUACUCGGUACCCAAGGCUUUCUCGUCUCUUCCAUUUUGUUCUUCCAUUGAACCAAAUGCAAAUGUUCUCAUUUCUGAUUACAUUUGAAUUACUUCCGAACUUUAGAAUAUUUUUUUUAUUUAAAAAAAAGACGUAUGUUCUAAUUUGUAUAACAUGUUUAUGGUUAACUUUGUACUGACAGGUGUAUCCGCAAGUCUACUUGAAAUGCGCUAUUAUUGAAUUCUUAAGUGUUAUGACCUAAAUCUUAGAGUCACCACUUAUAUUUGGCAAAAGUGUGUGCGUGUGUAAACUAUGCGUGACACAGAUACAAGAACUCUCCAAUCCAACUCUCUGAUGUAAACUUCACAAGUUAAGUGAAACUGUGGUAUGAACGUAUAUUUUGUGUGCUUAUAAUGUAUUGUUUUUGGGUAAUGCACAAUUGUAAGAAAAAUUUCCUCGAGGAUAAUAAAGAUUGUUAUCAUUAUUAGGCCUACUAUAUCCACCAUCCGUGUUUCACAAGAUUGGUUUUAAAAAACUAACCUGCAGCAGUAUUUGAUGAAGAUAGAGAAGACAUCCUGUACCUUCUACCUCAGCUGCCUCUCCAGACUUACCUGCCCAGAGAAGCCUGCAAGACAUCCUGUACCUUUUACCUCAGCU